rnacentral:tRNA from 1 species
GCAGUGGUCCCAUAAUGGUAUUGGAGCAGAUUGCUAAUCUGUCAGUCGUUAAUUCGGCUUACGGGUUCAAAUCCCGUCCACUGCG